CCGGUGCAACGCGGCGUGUGGAGGCGCUUGGAGGCUGCUGCGCAACUUAAAGGAAGCGGCUACUCUCUUAUAUUUAUUGCAUUAAAUCAUCAGUAAUUAAUCAAAGCGCCACCCCCCCCCCCGGUCCCCCCGUGCCUCCUGGCGAGGUGCUACCCUCUGGUCUAGAGCUGCGUUGCUUCGGGCGAGCUGUGAACAGUGAAAGGUUAUGCCGGUGCUAACCAUAGGAGGGAUUCCUGUGAGCUUCCCCUUUACACCCUACAAAUGCCAGGAGGACUACAUGGCCCAAGUGAUCGAGUGCCUGAACCUGGGAAAGAAUGGCAUAUUGGAGAGUCCAACGGGUACAGGCAAGACGCUGUGCCUUCUCUGUGCAACACUGGCUUGGAGGGAGCACCAAGUGGGCCAGCAUGUGCGGCAACGGGAACAGCAGAACAGCUGGGGAGACGAUGGACGUGAAGCCGAAGCCACAAUCACCUACCCUGGUGGCGUCGGCAACAUUCCCAAGAUCAUCUAUUCCUCCCGGACCCACUCCCAGCUUUCACAGGCUAUGAACGAAUUGAAAAAUGCAUCCUACAAGCCACGUGUGUGCGUGUUGGGAUCCAGGGAACAGCUGUGCAUUCACCCGGACGUCGUAAAGCAGGAGAGCAAUCAUGCGAAGGUGCAUCUGUGCCGUGCAAAGACAACCAGCAGGUCCUGCGUUUACUACAACAACGUAGAAGAGAAGAAGACGGAUUUUAGUGCCGGGAUAAUGGACGUGGAGGAACUUGUGAAGAAGGGCAAAAAACAACAGGUGUGUCCAUACUUCAUGACCCAGGAGCUGAAGCACGAUGCCGACAUCGUAUUCAUGCCGUAUAAUUACCUGCUCGACACAAAGAGUCGGCGAGCACACAGCAUCGAUCUCUCCGGAAAGAUCGUCAUCUUCGAUGAAGCCCACAACGUGGAGAGGCUGUGCGAAAAUGCGGCUUCUUUUGACCUGACCCCGUUUGAGCUGGCGUCCAGCAUAGACGCAGUCUCCCACUUCCUGGAGAUGAAGGUGAAGGAGGAGGGGCUGCUAAGGUCAACGGACGAAUUCAACGGCGACGGCUCAUCAUCCGAUGUCAGUAUAGAGGACGUUGCAAAUAUAAAGCAGCUGCUGCUGAACCUGGAACGAGAGAUUGAUCUUGUGGAACUGCCAAGGGGGGGUGGCAUCACCAAACAGGGCAGCUUCCUGUUUGAGCUCUUUGAGCGGGCGGGCAUUGGGUCUCACAUCAUGAAAAACCUCAUGGACGGCCUGGAGUGCAUCGUGGGAGCGAUCACCAUCAAGACGGGGAUAUUCAACAACACGACUGGGAUACAGAAUCUGUUGGAAGCUUUCCAGAUUGCAUUUUCACACGAAAACCGACAAAGGGCAAACAUGGAGACUUAUUACAAGGUCCACAUUCGCAUGGAUGACAGCAACUGGAAGAAGAAGCAGCAGCAGAAAGCAGACCCCUGGGCGGCGGCUUCUUCAGCCAAAAAACAAGGCAAGGUCGUCAGCUACUGGUGCUUCAGCCCGGGCCACACAAUGAAGGAGCUGCUGCAGCAAAAUGUGCGAUGUCUCAUCCUCACCAGCGGAACACUCUCCCCCAUGGCUUCCUUCACCGCCGAGCUGCAGAUUGAUUUCCCCAUCAAGCUGGAGAACCCGCACGUCAUUGACAAGCAUCAGGUGUGGGUGGGAAUCGUUGAAAAGGGGCCAGACUCCGUGCAGUUGAAUUCAGCGUACAGAAACAGGUCCUGCCCGGCGUACAUGUCGUCACUGGGAAAGACGAUAGUGAACCUGGCGAGGAUCAUCCCCAAUGGGCUGCUCGUGUUCUUCCCCUCCUACACCGUCAUGGACAUGUGCCUUCAGCACUGGAAGAACGAGGGAUUAUCAAGCAAGAUCGAAGAGAUUAAACCUAUGUUUGUGGAGCCCAAGCAGAAAGGGCUUUUCACAGAGGCAAUUAAUGGUUUCUACGAUAAGAUUAACGACCCACAGUGCAGCGCCGCGGCCUUCUUUGCCGUCUGCAGAGGAAAGGUGAGCGAGGGCCUGGACUUCGCUGACGCCAAUGGCCGGGCGGUGAUUAUCACGGGGCUGCCAUUCCCACCGCAAAUGGACCCGUGGAUAAAGCUGAAGAUGCAGUUCCUGGACGAGAUGAAGGCCAAGCGGUCGACGGAGAUGCAGUUUGUGGGCCUCUCUGGCCAGGAGUGGUACACCCAGCAGGCUUCGCGUGCCGUCAACCAGGCCGUCGGCCGCGUCAUACGACACCGCCACGACUACGGCGCCAUCAUCCUCUGCGACCACAGGUUCUCAUCCGCUAGCGCGGUGGCGCAGCUGCCGUCCUGGAUGCGUCCUUCCGUUAAGGCCUACCCGGAAUUCGGUGCAGUGGUCCGCGAGCUGUCGCAGUUCUUCCGGAUCGCCACAAAAACGUUGCCUGCCCCCCAGCGAAAGGUGUCGUGCAGAGGGCAGGUGGCGUGUGGGGAGGCGGACGGGGCAGGGUGCAGCUCCUCUUCCCUGCAGGCCGCCGCCUGCGGCGAUCUCCGCAAGGCCAGGACCGUAGACGCCCACGUGCCCAGCCUGCGACGACUCGCAGCCGAUCCCGGGGACUACCACGCGGGGGUCAGCGGCCUGGCACGGCUGUGUGUGGAGUUCGAGCCCGAGGACGGGCGCACGGCACGCCGGCCAGCGGGGCUCUUGGACGCCCUGGAGUUCAGCGAGCGCCGGGAGCGGAACGGCGUAAGCCACCUACCCGGCGAGGAACAGGCCUAUCGGCUCUCCACCCAGACGUUGCGGCACGACAAGAUUUUGGAUGACGAGCAGCGUGGCAGCAAGAAGAAGAUGGUGGUGGUGAGCAAUCAUCAGGAGCGGGCGCACGCCGGCGGGGUGGCGGAGGGCAGCAGCAAGCGCUCGAAUCCGACGCCGGCUAGCCACGUGGAACGCUCGCGCGCCUACAUUCAGGACGUGAGGCGCACCCUCAGCCAAGAGAAUCACGCCAACUUCUGCAGCGCCAUGCACGAGUACAAGCGGAUGGACGACCUGCAGCUCCUCUUCCAGAAGCUGGGCCCCAUCUUCACCGAGGACCCCAUGAAGUACCGGCUACUCCGCCAGUUUUACAUCUUCGUCCGGCCGCAUCACAAGAAGGCAUUUGACGAGACUUGCCGGAGCCUGACGGGCGAGGGCUGCGGCUACGUGGCGGAGCACAGCCUGACCCGCGAGCAGCGCACCGAACUCCUCCAGCAGAACAACGCAGCACAGUCAGGAGGCCAGACCAAAAGGAAGCUCAGUCCAGAGGAUGGAAGCGCACGCGGGAACCCCAAGUCGAAGCUCGGCUGCUCGUCGGCGAUCUCUGCCGAGAGCUCCGCGCAGGAGUUGGACAGCAGCACCCACCUGAACAAGGGCGCCGGCCACCUGAGGCCGCUGGAGCAAGCGUCGACCUCGUGCGCCGUCGCAGCUGUGUCCGAGAAACCCACGCCGCAACCUGCCAAGCAACGCGACGCGGAGCCGGAGCGCUGCAGGAAAGCGUGCGCGCAGUACGUGGAUGAGGUGCGGAUCUUGCUCGGCGCUGGGGAGUUUGACCGCUUCUGCGGCGCCCUCAAGGACUACCGAUCAAGCGGCGACUUCCAGGCCAUGGUGGCCGCGCUGGCCGCCCUCUUCCUGGAGGAUCCUACCCACGCGAUGCUGCUGCGGAAGUUCUCGGUGUUCAUCCUCCAGCAGCACCGGGAGAAGUUUGAGGGAGUGUGCCGUGACCUUACGGGCGAAGGCUGCGACUGGAGCCACAGGCAGGCAAAGAAGGCUCGGUCAGAUGGAGUUGGUGCCCCAGCCUCCACAGCGUCUCAGAAUGCUGGGAAAAGGGACACCAUUUCAGGUCAGAGCAAGAUUUCGUCGUUCUUCGGAGGACCCGACAGGAAGGCCGAGGCUUUGGGGUCGAACCGCGGGGCGGCACAAACGCAGGGUGGCGGCAACGAGCAGCCAGGCUCAUCCGCCCAGUCGGGCCUCACCGUACAGCAGCAGCAGCUCCAGCAGAGCAGCAGUGCAGCUCGAACUGCGGAUGUCAAAAGCGGUGCGGAGCAAGCGGGCCACCCUGUUUCAAAGGGUUUUGACUCACAAAUCAAAUUUCUGCAGAACUAUGAGGAUCAUUAUCACGAGAGGACCAAGUGUGGGAUGUGCAAAUUAAAGGCAUCGGCAUACUUAUCGUGCCCAUCGUGCAGUGUCGUCGGCUGUGCGCGAUGCUGGCGGUUGUGGUGCAAGGUUAGAUGACCUGACAAUUAAUUAUUUUGUCUUUGGAGGGAAGCCUUAGCCGACUUCUUGAGGGACACAUGGUAGCGAUUUUGAAGUUGGGGAGCAAGUAGUCGUGGAGACCCCCCCACUCAGUAGCCAAUGAGGUCCAUGAAAAUUACUAAUCGAGGGGAAACAGCAUUUGGCCUGCCACUACUCCCCUGUCCAAAAGUUGGGGCUGUUGCACACUCCACCACCUCCGUUCCUUCGCCCAUCUGACCAAGACCUGCCCUGAUUGCUCAGGGAGGGAUUAGGUUGAGAAAUCUGCUCCCUUUCUUCCAUAUGUUUGAAGAGGAAUGUGAAGACCUAUAAUGCGAAAUCUGCGACCGUUAUUAAUUGCGAGAUGAUUUGUAGCCCAAGAGUGUAUUAAGGUCCUUCUAAGAUCUUGGCUACGUGUCAGAGUUACUCUUGUAAGAGCGAAGCGAAUCAUGAGUAUGAUUGAGGACAUUGCAAGCUCCAUUAUGGAUCAAAUCAGUGUUUGCCGUCACGUUUAUCUCCGUUGCGUCUUGGGAAUUUCCAGUGGUUGGUUACAAUCACACCCGCUCUGACCUCACCGGCCGCUGUACGUGACGCUGCUCAAUAGUUUCCACCACGAGUACCGCGUUCGUGUUUAUGGUGGAAUCGAAAGUUCACGCAAAUUACGUCUGUACAUAGUUUCAUGAUGAUUUUCUAAUGUUUUGACCCCCCGUUCGGAACAGUCGUUUGCUCUUAUACAUCGCCACCGACUCACAGUUACCUCGGCCUCAUAUUUUAUCUCUCGUCCCUCGUGUGUUCUUACAAAGAGUUCCUUUCGGAGGGAGAAUGUACAUUUUUCUCGGGCGACCUCUCCACUCUAUCACAAAACGUGAUUCAUUCGGGAUGCCGCCUCUCCAUUACAACUGCAAAAGGUGCCAAACUUGCGCCGAUGGGGCCUGCGAGCGCGAUUGGCCCCACCGCAUCGCGUGGCUGCGCGCACGAUAAAUUGGAGAAGGGGGUGAAGAAGAUACGACUUCUUUUUUAAAUCCUUUAUAUUAAGUUCGCAUGCUUGCUUACGACCGUGCAAAUCUUUCGGUCGUUUUUUAACCCACUUCCCGUGAUCCAAUCGAGAUGACAUUUUCCACACAGACUCGUUGUGAAGUGACAAUUAAUGUUCGUGAAAAUUUUCCCAAAAUUUUACACUUUUUAGGGCCAAAAUAUAUUUAAUUACCAAUUGCUUAAUGGUGCAAUGCAAUCAUCUGACCCAUAGGUGGCAGCCAUCUCAAGCCAGAGGACGAGAGGACAAUAGCCGCCACGCAUAUAAAGGAUUUAUAGUGAAAAACUUUGUUUUUACGGGUUAUACUUGUGUACGUUUUCUGAUGAGAUUUUCGGGUCGCGCCGCAUGUCGUUCGGCACGAUGUCCGACGUUUUAGCCGCACGUGCUGGGAGCUUGAAGCUCGGCACGAGAUACAGCCCGAGAAGACGCAUCUGAGCUGUAACAAUGAUCCAAAGUCCAUAACUUAGAGCGCAUGCAGUUUAUAUCCCCUCAAUUGUUUCGUGUAGUUGCCUUAACUACGCUUGUGUACACGUUCCCUUUUGACCAAAUAUGAUGGCGGUGUUACACAAACCAACUUGCAAUCAACUUCAAUUGUUUACUUUCUGGGCACGGAUCUGCCACGUGCGUUUAUUUAAAGGAGGCUGGUUUUUCGAGAAAAUGGUUGUUUUAUUUUGCAUGCUUUUCUCAUUGUUGUUUUUGUCAUUGGAUAGCCUUGUUAUUUCAAGUUUCCACUAGUGUCGUGUAUAUAAUGAAUACGAUGUGUAUGUGUGUGUACAGAAUAUAUGUUGAGCUGCUAUGUGUUCGGUUUUUUUGUGACAAGUGAAAUAGAAUGGUAGAAGGUUUUUAUGGGAGUAAUACUCGUGUGCGCGACGACAAAGAAAACAUCUCAGUCUGUGGACGUAUGGAGUAAGAGCCCUUGGUUCAACUUGGCAGAUGUCUGUCUACCCGAGGAAAAUAAUAUGACAUGCUGCCUGGCAUGUUUAUUUUUUACAUUGUUAUUGCAGUGAGAGUAGAGCAUCUCUAUUUAUGUCCCCGGACUUCAUCAUAAUUAAUAGCAGUUCUUCUGUUAUGGAUUGUCGAACAAUACUACAUAGUGACUCGUUCUAAGUUUGUCACUGACAUAUGUGAAUCGCGUAACAAUCAUGAGCAGCGGCAACUACUUCUGCAUGAUGAAGGUAUUCCCAUGCCAUUGUCAUCCCUUGCUCACACUCCUACAAUGCUGCAAUCCAUAUGUGCGUGUGUAUGUAGAACUUCUUUUGCACCAUACAUAGCCAACCCUGAUAAUCGGAGGUGAAUAUAUCUCAUCGCUGGGUGAACUGAUCUCAUCAUUGCACCUGCCUGAUAGACUUCCUGGGUGCAUUUUACUUUUUGGCUAACAUUCCAUCACCAGUCUUGCCAGCCUUCCAUCAGCCAUGUGUCCUGCCCAAGCACACGUGGUUUUUUUUUUCUGAACGUGCUUGUUUUGAUUAGCAUGUGCUGCUUCGUGUGUGUCGGUGUAAUUCCAAGCCUUAUUCAUAACCAAAGGAAGCUUAAUGGGACGUAUGUAUGUAACUAUGUUGAACAUCUUUCGAACCGUACGUAGCCAACUGCUAAUUGGAUACGGGGAGACACUUUGGGGUGCACAUGGAAUGUGUAGACUUAAGCAAAAAAAUAAUGCGGUUUUAUUGCAAAAAAAGUUCGGGAAAACAUUUGAAUAAUGUGCAAAAUAUGUUAAACAAGAUUAUGGAAAAUACCACUCUUCACCUUCAACUACCUUGAUACGUUUUCACGGUCAAGUUUUAUUUUAAUAUCGUGUAUUAACCUUGUACUACAGCAACUGAUGUAUAAACGUUUUAAUGUAUAUAGUUUUUUUCCGAAAACAUUUACAUGCUAUAAAAAUAAAUGUACUGUGGUUUAUUCAGGAAUGAACCUAUGUUUAAAACCUGUUCCGUGGAGAGUUGAUUGUCGUGCCUUCAAUGACCAAAUCAUCCGGAAUGUGCCCGAUCUUAUCAGAUCGCGUAAGCUAAGCAGGCUGUCAUUGGUGUGUUGUGGGCAGCAGAGGAACCCGCAACUGAAUCCAUUCUGCGCUCCCCUACCCUUCACCAACCCGCAUUGACCAGUCGUCGUGGAUUCUUGGUCACGUGUCCCUUGUCGCCCUCAAGGUGUGGGAUGGCCCUCAUCCAGCAGUGGAUCGAAUCGGGCCGUACGUGUUCAGUCGUAGUGAAUUGUGGUUGAGCUACUGCCGUUACCAACACGG